GCAGGCAGAUCCAAUUUUCUGCCACCGAAUACAUUAGCAUGGGAUAAUGGAAUAGGACCCUGUCCUCCUAUUUUCAGUUGGUUUUGGCAGCGCGAGGACUAGGGUAAUGAUUAAUAGGGAUAGUUGGGGGCAUUAAUAUUUAAUUGUCAGAGGUGAAAUUCUUGGAUUUAUGAAAGAUUAACUUCUGCGAAAGCAUCUGCCAAGGAUGUUUUCAUUAAUCAAGAACGAAAGUUAGGGGAUCGAAGACGAUCAGAUACCGUCGUAGUCUUAACCAUAAACGAUGCCGACCAGCGAUUAGGAGACGUUGAAUACAAAACACCACCAUCGGUUGCGGUCGUCCUUGGCGUCUCGGUUUCGGCCGGGGCGCGGGGAUGGCUA
rnacentral:rRNA from 1 species